GCCAUGCGGUUGCCACAGGUGGAUGGACGCCAUCGGCGGCUGAUCAGUCGGCCGGCAGAGUUCCUGGGUAUGGUGUGAUCACAAACAUCAUCAAUGGGGGUAUUGAGUGUGGACAUGGAGCGGACAGUGCUGUGGCGGAUAGAAUUGGGUUUUACGAGAGGUAUUGUGAUAUACUGGGAGUCAGCUAUGGAGCGAACUUGGACUGCUACAACCAGCAACCUUUCUAAAUGCUGAUUCUAUCUGCGACGCAAAACAUAAAAUAGUCAUGUAUUUUUUUCCUAUGUCAAUCAAAUAAGUCACUAAUAUACCCUUGGAUGUUGAAAAAAAUUUAUGUAUUGUGGUGAAUGUUGUAAUAAACUAGUGAUAAUGUAUUUUUACCCAUGUCAAUGAAAUAAGGCACUAUAUGCCCUUUCAUGUAAAAAAUAAAAGAAAAAGAAAAAAAAAAAAA
rnacentral:misc_RNA from 1 species